AUGACAUCACCACGGCGGCAUAUAUACUAAAAUUGGAUCGAUACAGAGAAGAUUAGCAUGCCCCCUGCGAAAGGAUGACAUGCAAAUCUGUAUAAGAAAAACCACGACUGA
ensembl:snRNA U6 U6 spliceosomal RNA